rnacentral:rRNA from 1 species
UGAGGAAUUUUGCGCAAUGGGAGCAAUCCUGACGCAGCAACGCCGCGUGGGUGAUGAAGGCCUUCGGGUCGUAAAGCCCUGUCAGGUGGGAAGAAUGUCCCGGGACUGAACAGGUUCCGGGAGUGACGGUACCACCAGAGGAAGCACCGGCUAACUCCGUGCCAGCAGCCGCGGUAAUACGGAGGGUGCAAGCGUUAUUCGGACUUACUGGGCGUACAGCGCGUGUAGGCGGUCCUGCAAGUCUGAUGUGAAAGCCCCGGGCUUAACCCGGGAAGUGCAGUGGAAACGGUGGGACUUGAGUACUGGAGAGGAUGGUGGAAUUCCCGGUGUAGAGGUGAAAGUCGUAGAGAUCGGGAGGAAUAUCAGUGGCGAAGGCGCCCAUCUGGACGGUAACUGACGCUGAGACGCGAAAGCGUGGGGAGCAAACA